rnacentral:tRNA from 1 species
CGGGGUGUGGUUCAGUUGGCAGAGCGCGUCGUUCGGGACGACGAGACCGGCGGUUCGAGUCCGCCCACCCCGA